rnacentral:lncRNA from 1 species
CUUUGUACGGCUGCAACGUCUGUCACGAGAUGUCAUUAUUAAUCUUAUCGACCCAGCAGAUUAUCAGACUGAUAAGUCAGAGUUACUGUAGGAUCUAGCGAAUCAAUGUUCGCUGAAUCCUGCAGAGAUUCUGAUUUAUCGGUCUGAUUUAUCCGUUGGGUUGAUAAGAUUGAUUGAUUGAUGUAAACACGGUAGUGUUUUUCGUUGUAGACCUCUCGGGUAUCAAUAUAAUAAUAAAUACGCGUGUAUAAUAAAUACGCGUGCAUUAAAAAGAAAACAUUAGCAGUAUAUUUAAUAAAUUACUUACUAUUGCAUAGUAUGCUUACUCUUUUUCUGCACGUCCGAGUGGUGGCCAACGCUGUUGACGUUCACAAAAGAUAGCUCAUAGGAAUCAGGAGGGCGGCGGAAUUAAAUAAAUAAGUCAAUUCACUAGUUUUAAUUAACAUAUACACUAUGAGAGCGUUUAUUCUGUUUGAGUCUAUGAUACAAUAGUCCUGAAACAGAGUUACUCCGAUUUUAGCGCGCACACUGUGCCAUGUGUACCGGCUAUAUUCGAGCAAAAAACCGUUAAACGAACGGAAACUGAAGCGCGAGGUUUUACCAUAUCUUUUACAUUAAAUUAAUUAACCAGAGCUAAUCACGUCGAUUAUCACUAAUUGUUACCGAAACCGAACUUAACUAUUUGACCGAUUUCCCAAAGCGAUUCCCGACAACGCGUGUCUGAUGCGUAUGUCUUUCCGAAGGAGAGUGCCACGUUGCUCCAAUAUGCCGGAAAUCGGAGCACGGAUCGAAGGCUUUAGAACGAUCCCGAAUUUAUUAGAACCGGCUUCGUUUCCGGUUCGCGAGCGUCGUUUUCCGCUAAUUAAUUAAUUUUCACCUCGCGAGGUGCGCUGACAUCCGGUAGGUACGGCAGCCAGGAGUUGGCACAAUCGACCGGUCUAUCGAUUUACUAAUUUAGUGCGAUAUCUUACAGUUUCGGCCAGCUUGUAAACAUCCCUUCGUCCUCGAAGGCUUUGUUUACUUUUUUUUAUUAUUAUUGUUAACAUUGUUGUGAUCACAGGUAACUUUAUUAUCACAGUUUUCCAUUAUCUCAUUGCUCGCAGAAAACUUAAUAUUAUCUUAACCUAACAUAACCUAAUGCUAUCGCUUAUACUAACUAAAGAAAACAACAUAAAUUCUACAUUAUUAUGCUUAACAUUGCCAACAAAAUAAUUAUUUUAUUAAUCAAGUAACACAGUUUUUUUUUCUUUCUUUCUUAACUAGCUAUCUCACUUUCAGGACGUGACACUUUAAUCCAGUGCUUUAGCUUGUCGGAGGAAAGGAUUGUAUUCAUCGGACGAGAUGUCCAAUUAUAACCAGGGGACCGAAAUGGUCGACGUGGAGAAUUUUCACUUUACUCGGUGACGGAAAGAUACUCGUCUCUUCCUCGAACCGAUUCACCGCGACGUUGGACAUUAUACAAGAUCAAUAAGUUGAUGGAAUUCCAGUUCCCUUUUUAGGAAAAGCUCACAAACCCGACGCAGCGACUCAACGCGUCGCAUCGACAUGUUGCAUCCGGGUUCUUAAAGCUAUAAUUUUGCAAGAACAAGAAGAGAGAGGGGAUGCUCUCUAGUCAGCAAAAA